GCUGAUUAACGCUAACGCCUCCUGUGAAGAAGAGAUAUUGGUUUGAUUAGGUAAUGAAUUAUAAUAUGAGUCUUUCAAACGCAAAACUGAGCACAAUGAAAUGGGAUUUCGGGAAAAAUUAGAUAAAAUAGAAAAUGACAUUGUAGCCUUAGAUACUACAAACAAAAGCCGAGCUGGUGUGUUAACUUGUAUUUAAUACGCCAUAAUAUUUUGAAAGUGCCUAAAGUUAAAAUUCCCAUUGUAGGUACAGUGCGCGCAAGACAAGCACCAAUUUGGACACGAGGAAUUUGAAUUUGCGCAUUGUACAAAACAGAUUUCAGACUCGUGUCUUGUGUCUUGUGUUGUGUCAAAGUGCACUCUAACUCUAUAGAUGUUAGCCUAAGUCUACGACCUGCGCAAACGUCAUGUUGCAAUGUCAGAUUAGACUACUUGUUUAGCGAUCAUUGAACGUCGCAAGAUUAGAUGUUAAUCAAUCAUAAGCCAAGAUGGUUAUCAGUUGAGAUUGAAUGAAUGCAAAAAACAAGU